rnacentral:rRNA from 1 species
AUGCUUCUGCUUUCUGUAUGGACCUGGGAGCGUCUGCCUGUUGGACGCCCGAAGAGCGUCAAGUUUAAUCCUUGGGAUGAAGAUGGCGAAUUACGGCACCCCACUUGGUCUUACAAGUGGGAUGUGGUAUCCGAGAUGACGAACGAUGUCAAUCUCAUGUACCAAAAGUACAUUGCCAAGUUGGACACGAUAACGCCUGAGCAGGUAACGAGGUCAUUACUUCAAUCAUUUCUCAUGCUUGCCUAA